CAAUAGCGUAUGCUAAAGUUGUUGCGGUUAAAAAGCUCGUAGUUGGACUUCUGCGACGCUUCCGCCACUCCCCACUACGUGGAGGAUGCGGACGGUGUGUCGCAUUUUCGUUGGAAGGGUUCGCCCGGCCAACGUCCUUUACCUUGAAGAAAUCAGAGUGUUCCAAGCAGGCUUGCGCCUUGCAUGUAUUAGCUGGGGAUAAUAACAAAGAGUUCAGUUGCUCUCGUUGGUUCAAGCACCUGGAUUUAAGAUUAAUAGGAACAGUUGGGGGCAUUCGUAUGCGCGAGUCAGAGGUGAAAUUCUUGGAUUUCGCGCCGACGAACUACUGCGAAAGCAUUUGCCAAGGAUGUUUUCAUUGG
rnacentral:rRNA from 1 species